GAUGAAGAACGUAGCGAAAUGCGAUAAGUAGUGUGAAUUGCAGAAUUCAGUGAAUCAUCGAAUCUUGAACGCACAUUGCGCCCCUUGGUAUCCCGAGGGGCAUGCCUGUUCGAGCGUCAUUUCACCACUCAAGCCUGGCUUGGUGUUGGGCGACGUCCCCUUUGGGGACGCGCCUCGAAACGCUCGGCGGCGUGGCACCGGCUUUAAGCGUAGCAGAAUCUUUCGCUUUGGAAGUCGGGGCCCCGUCUGCCGGAAGACCUACUCGCAAGGUUGACCUCGGAUCAGGCAGGGAUACCCGCUGAACUUAAGCAUAUCAAUAAGCGGAGGA
rnacentral:misc_RNA from 1 species